rnacentral:lncRNA from 1 species
UUUUUUAUUUUCUUUUUAAUAUGGACAGGGAGUCUCAUUUUUUUAUCAUAUCAAUUAAUAUUACAGUACAUCCUUGGUAAUACAAAAUUGUACACCUUCAUCAAAUAAAUUAGGAUAAAUUAAACCAAUAAAUUAUGCAAAGUCUUCAGAACAAUAGACAACAACAAAAAUCCACAAUUGAAAUUGCCUCUAGCUAAAAAAAAAAUCAAAAAUUGACUUUAUCAGUUCAGUUAUUGUACUAUAUUCAAAUCAAAGGGUCUUUAUUACAAAAAAAGAGCUUAAUAAUGCUAUUUACAACAUAUUGCUAAAUAAUAUAAAGGCAGUGUUUUGUCACGGUUUAUACUAUAUACAUAUGAAAAAUGGCUGGGACAACAUUGGGAGAAGCCAUGACCUUUGAUUCUUGUAGGUAGCGCUGAGACCAACCCCAAAUACAAUUUGUUUUUCUAAUUCUAAUUUUGAAGUGGUAAUAUACAAUUUGAAAAUGCUUUUCCCCCCCACGUGGAGGAUUAGAAUAAUUCUAAAACACAGAAUGAAUACAUUUUCACAAAAGAGGGCCAGUCUGUUUGCCUUUUCUGCUUCUGUCUGUGCAUUUUAGAGGGUGUCAGAUUUGAGAGAGGGCUCAGUUGAAAGACUCAAAGUCCAGACGCUUCCAGAUCCUGUUAUAUUCUUAGAAGGAUAAUUAUAAGAAGAUGCAAAGGUUAAAUACCAGUUUUGAUCCCAGCUCUGAAUAUGAACAUUUUAGCUUUAGUUUUAUAGAUGGUUUACAACCAACGGAUCUACAGAAAACAAAACUGCAUUUCCUUCAACAGAACAUUUAAGUGCAAUGCAGUAACCGCUUACUCAUAUAAACCAGUUACAUUCUUUUAAGGGGAGCUUUUUGAAAACAAUGCUUCUUGCAAUUUGCAAACACAGAGUUUGUACCAGAAGGAAACAUUUGUACUAUUCACACGGAUGAAUAUUCUAUAAUAUACAUGGCAAAGAGAUUUUGCUCUGUCCUCACAUGUACACUGCUUUCAGGGAAUCUGUAAACCACUUUCUCUUUGAUGAAUUUAUGAUUGCUUCUGAGGGACAUCCUAUUUUUUUGAAGCCCCCAAAUCUUUAGCUUUAUGACUUAGUAUUAACCUGUAUAUGUGUGUGUGUGUGUGUGUGUGUGUGUGUGUGUACGUGUAUGUGGUGGUGGGGGUUUCUUACUAAGUGUUUUCAUGUACAUAGAAAAGAAAUUUCCUAAAUUUACAGAAACUGCAUUACCCUUGCCCUUGACAUCUGAUGAAAGAGACUGUUAUCUUUUAAAAGUAGAGAGCAGGAUUUUCAAGAAUGCUUUCAACUGUCUAUACAGUCACUGUAGUGUUCCUAAUAAAUUCAACAGAUGUUGUGAGAAUGUAGUUAUUUAUUAAAAUCUCAUGUCUUACGUAACAACAGCCAUGAGGUUAAAUAUUUACAUUGCUUUAUAAAAGUUCCCCUCUUGCUUUAGUGUUUUUGUUUUGCUUUUUUUUUUGUUGUUUUUAACAUUUUUAAAAAUGAUAUCCACCCACUUCCCUAGCACAGCAACAAAGAUUCUGCAAACAUAAAACACUUGAAUUAAAUAAUACUCGGAGGCACAAAGCAAACUUCAGGAACAUGUGGGUGAACAUUUUCUUAAAUAAUUACUACAUUCUACCAUCUUCCACGUUGUUUUACCAUUUAAUGCGAAACGUCCUCAUUAAACAGCCAGAGAUACAGUAAGAAUUAAAUGUUUUGUUGUUGCAAAUAGAACAUUCUUUUCACAAAACAUAACAAAUGUCUAAAAUAGGUCCUUAAAUCUAGAUAGGAAAAGGUAAGCUUUCCACUUCACACGCAUAUAUAUAUGUAUAUUUUUACAUGUGUGUAUAUGUGUGUAUGUGUCUUUACGUUCACACACCCGCACACACAUAUAUAGCACAUGGUAUGAAAUAUUGCUUCUAUACUACUUUUCAUUAGGCUAAGAAAACACAAGAUUUGCACCACAGUUACAAAAAAUUGGCUUCUACAAGAAUUUUCAAAACUCGAAUGCUGCUCAAACAAUUGAAGAAAAAAUAAUUUGCGGUAUCAAACUGUUCUAAAAAUUCUCUUCUUCAAAAACGUAUUCUCCCGCUUUGUUUUUAAAAAGACACAAAAUAUGCAUAGCUAUCAACGUUAUGUCAAACAGCCAGAAAAAAAAUCUAGUGUUUAUUGCAGCUGUAGUAAUUGGAAAUAAAGUCAAAAAGAUGAAAUCGAAAGCCACAGAAGGCACAAGAACAAUUGUACUUGUGGGAAAAAACUGGUAUUUUGAAGGAUUUUUAAAAAUCCCCCCGCUGGUGCAUUUUAGGUCUAGGCACAGACUAUCACCUCAAGUGUAUAUGCAAAAAUAAUUUAGGGUUAGCAGAAAAUAAGUGGUAAUGUGGUAUUUCAACAUGCACUUUAGACUUCCUUUUUCCUAUGUAAACUGUCCCUCAUCCUCCCUCCCACCUUCCUAGAAAGUUAACUUUCUCCCAGGCAGCCAAUUUUCACUUGGUGAGAGUUGAGCUGAGAUUUGAAAGAUGGUGAUUAAAAAAAAAGUAAAAAAUAAAAUAAAAUAAAAAACAAACCAAACCAAGCCAAACCAAACCCAAAAUUGUUAAGUAGGAGUUUUGAGAGACAGACUUUUGUCACUUUCCAAUGCACUGGCAGGCACAAGAUUUUUGUGAUCGUAAAAGGGGAAAAACCACCUACACGCAGAAGUGAUUGCGUUCUAUUUUCAGAACAAAGAGGUGAGUUUAUCCUCAUGCAAGUUCUACUCGAAAUAAUUUCUAUGCCUCAGUGA